rnacentral:rRNA from 1 species
GACGCCGCGUGAGGGAUGACGGCCUUCGGGUUGUAAACCUCUUUCAGUAGGGAAGAAGMGAAAGUGACGGUACCUGCAGAAGAAGCACCGGCUAACUACGUGCCAGCAGCCGCGGUAAUACGUAGGGUGCGAGCGUUAUCCGGAAUUAUUGGGCGUAAAGAGCUCGUAGGCGGUUUGUCGCGUCUGUCGUGAAAGUCCGGGGCUUAACCCCGGAUCUGCGGUGGGUACGGGCAGACUAGAGUGCAGUAGGGGAGACUGGAAUUCCUGGUGUAGCGGUGGAAUGCGCAGAUAUCAGGAGGAACACCGAUGGCGAAGGCAGGUCUCUGGGCUGUAACUGACGCUGAGGAGCGAAAGCAUGGGGAGCGAACAGGAUUAGAUACCCUGGUAGUCAAGGGCG